AGCAGAUGAAGCGAAUUUAUCCCAAGGCUGAAAUGGAGUGUUUUCCGAGGCAGUCAGCUGGGCCCCUGCGGGCUCACGGAGGUUUCCCAUAUGAAGAGCUGGGGGGACACGUUGCGGUAACAUCCCCCUGCGAUGAGGAUGCUGCGCGGAUCAGAAAUGGAGCUGUAGGAUUCACCCUCCUCCUGUCCAGUAGCAGGCUCAAGUCCCCGUCUCUGCUGUUCAAACCAUCUCCUCCUCCGGUCAGCAGCGCUUCCCAGCUGCAGAAAAGGCCAUUUGUCUUCUGAGGACUUGUUAAGUAAUUUUUUAAACGCGACUUGAGUUGCUGGUUUUGUUUACAGUAAAACACUUUGAUUUGCCGUGCAGCGAUUAGUUCAUGAGAGCAGAUGCUGAAGCAGAACAGAAAAAUCUCUUCUUGAAUGGUUACGUACCUAAAGCCUGCGGGGCAAUGCCCAGGAACCAGCGAGGUGCCUUAUGUGAGCCUGUGUCUCCCAAUGCAUACAAGUAAAUUCUCUAGGAACAU